UACAGAGGUCUCAAGCGUUGUUCGGAUUCAUUGGGCGUAAAGGGUGCGUAGGUGGCGCGGUAAGUCGGGUGUGAAAUCUCGGAGCUUAACUCCGAAAUUGCAUUCGAUACUGCCGUGCUUGAGGACCGGAGAGGAGACUGGAAUUCAUGGUGUAGCAGUGAAAUGCGUAGAGAUCAUGAGGAAGACCAGUGGCGAAGGCGGGUCUCUGGACAGUUCCUGACACUGAGGCACGAAGGCCAGGGGAGCAAACGGG
rnacentral:rRNA from 1 species